rnacentral:pre_miRNA from 1 species
GGGAGGAGCACAGGAUCUUGGGCUGUGUCCCCCAGUGCCCUUGGCUCCAGGGCCUGUGCCGCUGGAAUCGUGCUCCUGGGGCGCAGCCCCCU